CAGCAAGCCCGGAAGGAGGCUGGCAGAGCUCCCUGCAGCAGACCAGACCAUCCAGCACAGCUUUUGCAAGGUACCACCAAAUCCAGGAGGAUGUCAGCAUGGUUAACAAGUAAAGUCAAGGAAGUUAUAAAGGGGAAGAAGACUUCCUUCAGAAACUGGAAGGCCUGCCCAAAUGAAGAGAACAGAAAGGAACACAAACUCUGGCAAAAGAAAUGGCUCCAUAUUGUCUCCGAUGUUAACAUCUACAUGAAACCACUGGGAGAGGCCAUCAGGAGAUUUGGUGCAGGGUGUUAUCAACAUGCUGAUGACACCCAAAUCUAUUUCUGCAUGUCAACACCAUCAGGAGAAGGCAUAUCCUCCCUAAACACCUGCUUGGAGGCAGUAAUGAACUGGAUGAGAGAUAACAAACUGACGCUGAAUCCAGAUAAAAUGAAGGGACAACAUAAGCACCUGAGGAAACUGAGUAUCAACAUUACUAUGCUGAACAUGGGCAAGGACCCCCAAAUCAUGGAGAACACAAAACAAGAUUGUAAAUUUGAUCUGAAAAAGUAGGACUGUCUCAGUUCCCUAGUAGGACUCUUAUUUGCAAAUCGAGUUUGUCCAGCUAUGGGAAACUACUGAACACUGCUCAACCAAUCUCCAAAAGAACAUAACAAAAUCACUUCAAAAUCAAAUACAAAUCUAAAAGGGAAAUUUCUCUCUCAAUUCUUGAAGGGAACAUUUUAAAUCUUGGGUUUUUAAAACAUAAAUGGUUGUGACAUUUAACAUUUUUUAAAAACCAAGUUAAGACAAAUUUACUAGAUUGUACUCGGAAACAUUAAUUCAUGAGGUUCUAUCAUACACAAUGAAUUACAGCCUACUUUUCUAUGCAAAAAUAUUUGGAAAAAAUAUUUAACUUCAAAGGCAAGCAUCAUGCAUGAUCCAGUGGGUUACAUGCUUAUUGUUGUGGCAAAUUAAGAAUACUUAUGACUAUCAACCAAACUGAACAUUUUCUUUCCAUCUCAUAUUUUACCCCAUAGUUUUACCCUAUAGACUUCCAGACAUUUCUGGUCACAACUGGGCUCACAAAGUUCUGUAUUGGAUUGUGGUCCCUGUAUUCAAGUAAGCUAUCUUACUUAGUGAUCUUUGCAUGUGAACUCAGAGCCAAAGUGAAAUCCACUAAUUUCACAGUUACCCAUCUUGCUUAAGCAUAUUAUGUGCUUUAUUUUCCUUGACAAUUUAAGCCAUUCAUUAAUAUCGCCCUUGAUUUAAAUCAACUCACCCUGCACUAGACAGAUAGCAAGCUGACUAUCUAAGCUGGCCCAAAUACUCUUGAAAUAAUUCACAUUAAGCUCCAGUUCAUCAAAUAAAACACUAGUCAAAUUAACUACCUAACGUUUAGAAAGAAACAUGCUUUACAUUUAGUGCAAUUUGCAGGACUUUUCAAAACUCCUUUAUGAAGUUACCAGAAGUAAAUGUGGGAUGCAAAUCAAAGCAAUUGGAAUGUGUUAUUCAUCCUUAGGCCAGAGUGCCGUGAAUCAGUAAGAUUCAUGCAGGUGCACAGCUUAAUUCUUAGAGUAGAUGUGAUUUCAGAGACAUUCUGUGGUGUUGCUGUGGGAAAAUAUUUCAUAUUUUUGAGAAUCUGUAAAAUCCCCUUUACUGUGUCAAUUGCCAGUAUAGUGGGAAAGUAGCCACAAUACACAAAAAGUAUACAGCUGCACAGAAAUUGGCAGAAGUAAAAACAGAUGCGAGUACAAAGGAAAAAAGAUUGUAGAGAACUAAAUAUAGCUGAGUGGGUGGGCAUCCGAAAAAGGCCAGUUGCAACCAUAUACCUAGUAGUUUGCUGUAUGCAGUUUUCCAUCGAAUACAUGCAGACAAAACAUUACCCAAUUGCCAAACCAUGGUUUGGCAACUAGCAGCAUCUUGCCACUUGGGUACUCCUCCCCUCCUCUCACUUUCAGUUGUGGACAUUAGCAUGGUUUGUGUUAUUGUCUACACUGAUGUUUUCACUACCGUGGCUAGUCCAAACCACAACUUCCAAACCCAGAUCUGAGCUAUAAAGACCUAUAUGCCCUAGGCAUUAAGGAGCACCUUUCACCAUGCCAGUCUCCUGCUCUUAUUGAGAUCUGCAGAAAAAUUUCAGUGCCCUAUAUACUUCUUUGCCUAGUCAUUACUACUAAAUCCAGAAUAAAUUAUGCAAUAAAAAUGGUAGACUCAUGCAAAUUUGCAUACUUCAUAUCAGUCACAGGAUCCAGCUUUUCCUGGGACAUAAUUUAAUUACCUCAACACAAUCUCCCCUGCCCCCAAGCAAGGGGCACUCGCAGCCCUGGCUGUAGCUAUGGAAAAUCAUCAUUUCACUAGGAGAUGCUAGAUGUUACCGGACCAUGUCUACUGUCAAUAAUUGUCGUUGGGAGGCUAACUGCACAACCACACUGCAGGGUCCAUUUGGCUGUGCUAUGACUAUUACAUAUGUGGGGCACCUUCUCCCUUCUAGCUAUAACUAGUUCUCACUGAGAUGGAAAGUCUGUGUCUGAGCUGAACAAGUUCAGAUAAAAAGUACCACCCAGCGCCUUUGGAUGGGACAGUAUAAAAUGUAAUAACUAACUAACAAAAUAAAUAAAUGCGAUAGAGUGCUCCUCCAAAACAACAACUCCACAGAGCAAACUAGCCUCUCCAGGAGAAGGGUUCUAGCCUUUCCAAUACCCCAAUUUUCUAUGCACACAGGAGAGUGGAUUGUAUGCAAGAGCAGUCAUGCGCCUGAACCUGCAGAAUGAAGUGGCAUGUCACCAGAUACAGGUUGACCAUCUCAGUGAGGAGAACAAGGCCUUAGAACUAUUAAUUUUCAGCUAGGAGGAGAAUGAAUGGAGCAUCUAUAAAGAGGACAGGGAUGUGAAGGCUACAUGUGUGGCUUUCAAUCUUUCUUCCAGGCACUCGGGUUAGAAAGAAGAACUACAGACAUGUAUCACUUCCAUACUGCUGCCUUGUGUAAGACAUGGUAGCACAAAGGAGGCUGCAGGUGUUUAGCUCUGUCCUUGUUUCCGGAUUCCCACCUGAAGUCGCUGACAACCACCUGAGGCAGCUCUAUAAAAGCAGCUGCUAGAGGAAUGUCCCUGUGCUGCUGGUGGAAGGAGGAAGAAUGUUGUGGGUGAGCAGAGCAGGGAGGAAGCAGUCUAAGUAGCUAUUUACAAGGCUGCAGAUCUAUUUUAGUCAGCUUAUUCACCUGCUAGAAAGUAACAAUACCUAUUCUGAAAAUCAAGCAAUAAGUGUGCCCAAGGGUCAUGUAGAGAUUAAUACGCUUUCUUUGGCCUCUCCAGCCCAGUAGUAUCUGAAUGGAAAGGUUCCAUUCCUCAUCUUGUCUCUUUUUAAAAGGAAACAAAUCAGAUUUGAUUUGAUUUUUUUGUAGAAGAAGCUUUCCCCUUGUUUGGAAGUGAAUACAUGGCCAAGCUUUUCCCCUAACCCCCAAACUUGGGUGGGGGUAGGGGUGGGAGAUCUCAAAAUUUGAGCAGAAAACAUCUACAUAGGGGGAAAAUGGAGGAUGCUUAAAACAGAAAAAAGUAUUUGUGACUGCUCAUGAGGAAUAAAUUAUCUCUGUACUAAUUCUAAAGGAAUAACUAGGCAGUUGGCCCAGCAUCAUGGAUAAUAUGGAAAAGGCCCAGGGAUUUGGAGCUGGGGGUGGGGGAGAUCAACAGUACACCUGGCAAUCUGCCUAUUAACACAGUCUGCUAAUAAGAGUCAAAUUGUACUACAAUAUUUUGGGACUGUAUCCAAGCACAUGAUUAACUGAACCAAGUCAGAUUUCCACAAAAACAAGUUUUGCAUACCUAAAUAAAAUUUCCUGGGAAGAACCCAGCACUAGUCUUCCCUUUAAGGGAGUUCCUCAAGCAGUUAAAUCUGGCAGGUCAUCACAAUGGAUCCAGGCAAUAUCUGAAGUUACAUGGCCACCCUCAAUGCAAUUAGGCCUCUUGCUAAACAACUGCCCUCAACUGUUCACCACUGUAGAAGAGAGCAACUUACCCAUUUCAAAAAAAGUUGCCCCAUAACUUUAUGUCCUUCCUAUUAGUCUUCAAUUCUUGAGAAGUUUAAGGCACAAGACUGUGCUCUUACAAGUUGUCUGAUGGGGAGUACAUAUGCACGAUCGUAAAGCUUAAAAGACAAAUUUGUCAAUUCAUGGAUUUUUGGACUCAAAUUCAAAUGGGAUGAGUUUACAUUUGAUCUUUACUAUCCAUAAUUUCUCUUUGCCAUUUCUUUUAAAAGUCACAUUUUAAACAUUAUCAAUGCAUUAACAUAUCUGAUGCAUUAAUGUGGUUUCUGUCCACAUUCGCAGUUUGCACUGAGGAUAAACAUUUGCCUCAGUACACCAUCUUCUCUGUGCCCCACUGGGAGAGGCUGCACUACAGCUGUGGAACUUUUACUCCAUGGAGAUCUGCCAAAGGAUAAGAUCUUUUAAAAAACCUUUCUUCCUAGUCAGCUUCUAGUGGUAGGUGUAAGUGGGUGGGUAAAGGUCUCUUCAGCAUUGGUCAUGUUUUGCUUUCUACUGCUAGUUUUGAAAAAGUGAGAUUUGACCCCAAAUCUUUGCUGCUGAGCAGGGUUCGGAUUUAAACAAACAGAAUAAAGGUCUAUUAAGUGCUCUGGAGAGAGUGGCUAUAAUUAAAAAAGAGCUGCAUUGCGUUCUACCUUAAUGGCAAAUAUUUAAUAUUAAUUAACAUUAAUUUUAAAAUUAUAUUCAUUUUAACUCCUUGUCAGAUAUUCUCCCCUCUUACUCAUAUACACCUAUAAUGGUGGUUGGUCUAUCUUCUGGACAAGCUAGGAAUAUUAAAAUGUACACAGCCAUGGGAAAAAUCAAACACCAGAAAAUGCUUCAAUGGGAGGAGGAGACAAAGCUUACUGAAUACAAGGAGAUCAACCCAUUUUCUAAAACCUGAGUUACUGCUACUCACGGUUGAUUUGAUUUAAAUCAAGAAGAUAGACCAACCACCAUUAUAAGUGUAUAUGAGUAAGAGGGGAAUAUAUUUGACUGCGAGUUAAAAUUAAAAAUUUCCUAUUAUUUAAAUCACCUAAGUAAAAAUACAUUCUUUGUUGCCUAAUAUAAUCUUAAUACAUAUUCAGAGAUGUAGAAUUCAUUUUUAGAAGGUAGGUACGCACUUCUCAUAAGGCCAUUUCAUUUGGGCAACCAGGCCUCACAUUUCUUUCUUGUACUGUUUGCAUUUUGCUUGCAUGCCCAUCUUAUGCACAGGUACAGGAACUUGAUUAAAAUAUUCUCAAGUGGGGUCUCUUUUAUGACCUGCUCCCAUGAUAGGUGUUUCCCUUCUAAAAUGGAGAAUACACUUGAAAAAGGUUUCUACAGGACUACAUGGAUAUGUUCUGCUCACUUUUGGUUUCACUUUCUAUUCCCCUCCCCAUCUCUUGCAUUUAUAUCCAGAUUCCUCCUCCUUGCUCAGAUCUAUUCCAUCAUCCGAAAUCCUCCAUUCAUUGGCCUUCUUUAGCCCGAUUCAGGCAUUAAUUAUGCUGUACAAUGUCUGUACACUUGUACACGUUUGGGUGAAUUACUGUACCUGGGUUCCGUUUCAGUGAACCUGGAUACAGGCCCUUUAAAUGCAUGGUAAAGACAGGAAGUGUACUGCUGUACCUGUGUUCAACGUAACAAGUGAAUUGCUGUACCUGUGCACAGAUUUGUACCUGUGUACAUUGUUCACUUGUAUGCUGAACAUAAUGUGUGAAUGGGCCUAAUGUCUUUGUACUUUUAGAGAGGUAGAGAGGGGCAAGGGCUUGUCUGUUAUCUACUAUACCCAUAUAAUGCUAACAAGUUCACAGAAUAUAAUUAGGAAUUAUGAUAAACAACCAUGAUAUCUUUGAACUAGGUUCUUUUUUUAUUAUUAUUAUUAUUAUUAUUAUUAUUAUUAUUAUUAUUAUUAUUAUGUUUAAAUCAUCGAUUUUUAUCAACCCUGCAGCUACUUCAAAGUUCCAAGCAAUCGGGAAAGUUUGUAAACAUAACUACACAAAAUCGCUUGUACUGCAUUACGUAAAACAUGUCUUCUCAAAGGAUAAUUGGAACGUUUAAUGCUCAUAGUUGAACCCCUCGAAAGGAAUUAAAAAACAUUUUCCCCAAUUCCAGAAAGGUAGCUGCUAGUCUGUUUCAGCAAUCACAAUUAUAAGUUUAUGGCAUUUUAAAUGCCAAUUAAUUUAUUGUGGCAAAAGAUUCUGUCUGCUGGCCCACAACAGCUUGUGCCAGAGGUCUGUAAGUCCAAGGUACCAUAAGGCGAUUAUCUUUUUGAACCAGUGCCACUUCAUGUGCCAUAGUUAGAAAUUAAAGCAUUACCUCUUAGGCAUGCCUCAGGGCUUGGACAUGCCCUGUGCCAUUUUUGACUGAGCAGCCAAAUCCCUGUGCCAUGUAAGAAAUGGUUUUUGAAAUUCUUUUUCUCAGCUUUAAGAGAAGUUUGUCAUGCAGCACUGAGAACUCUCAUUUGAGAAAUGUUAAGUCAAGCGUUCUUCUGAGCACAUGGAAUUAGUUGUGCAGUUAUUUAAAUCAAGUAUCAUAUGUUCUCCCACAAUAGAGCAAAUGAUAAUCCCAUGAUAAGGAUAUUGGCCCUUCUAUAUUAUUUCAUUAUAGAGGCAGGUGCAUGUGCUUAAAUUAAGAGUUGCAUUAAAAGGGUAUGGAGUCAGUUUCCAAUUAAAGCAAGUGAGGGGAGGAUGAUGAAACAGUGCACAUCCAAGUGUCUACUCUUGGGGUCUAUAUGAUCCCAACAUGGUGAAAACUCAUCUGAAAACUACAAUAGCUAUUCAUGUUGAUGUAGCAGUUAAAAUCCAGAAAUUUGAAGCAGAGAAGAAGUGCACAAGUAAGGUGUCGGUGACAUUACAGUUCUAAUAUAUAGGUGCCUUUGUACCAGAAACAAUGUCUUAUGUUUAUAUUAAAAUUGGGGUCAUUACAAAGAUAUAUCUUUUAUAUCUUAAAAAAUUAUGACUUAAUUGUCAUCCAAGCACUUUUUACAAGCACAGAAAGACUAAAAAACCUUCCAGAGAAGGGAUGCACGAUUACCUGCAUGAAUAUAUAUGCAUUUAAUCACUAAGAAAACACAUCCAAAGUUUGCCCUUGAAAUAAUGCAAACUAUAAGUAUCUGGGAAGGAUGUGGGAGCAGGAUUCAAGUGUCCUAAAUACAAGAGAAGAAUGCUCUUUCCACAGAAGCAUGGGAGUAAAAUAUACAAUUACUGGUUGUGUUAUCCUGUCAGUCAAUAGCACCAUGUCUUGAUCCAGCCUUGUAAUCUGACACAUGUCCAUGGCAAGUAACAACUCUGUGUGAGUAGCCUAGGGCAGAGGUUCCCAACGUUAAAAACAUUCUAGUUUCCCCCUCUCCGUUGCAGCUGCAACAGAGUUGGGAGAUUGGACACAGGGUGGCGGAGUAAUCCUUCCUUUCUUCUUCUCCAGUUUUGAACCAGUGUACUCUCUGAAAUUUUCAUGAAUUAACAUUUGGGGGCCUACAUACCCUGAUCACCAUCAGAUUUGCAACAAGUAUGAGGAGGAGUUCUUUAAAAACCCCACACACAACACACAUAGAGACACUCUUAUCAAAACCCCAAGGAGAAGCCUGAUGCUCUAAGCUUUAGUACAGUGGUUCUUAACAUGGAGUCCACCAGAUGGUGAUGAACUACAACUCCCAGCAUCCCCAGCCACAAUAAAUUGUGUUUAUUUAGUGUUUUAAUACAUCUUUAGCAGAAAUUGAUACUGGGCCCUAUUCUGGUGACUGGGGCAAGUGUAACAGCUAAACUAAGUUCUACCGCAUUAUAUCUCACUAGUUAUAACUGAGAAAGAGAUUUGAAAACACUGAAGCUUUGUUUUGUUCAGCUUGCAGUAACACUAAACGACUGGAACCAAAUAUCUUUCAGACACAUAAACACUGAUAUAUGCAGCACUCCUGUGGCUAACACAGAACACAAAAGGGAUGCACAUAAAAUUAUGUGCAUCCAUAUUUAUAUUUUGACUCCCCCUGAAGUAAAUGCAGCAACAAAUAGCUCCAUGUCCACGACUGAGGCAAACACCCUGAUCUGGAGAAAUGUGCAACAAGUUUUUCCUCCCUCAAUUCAAUCAUUUUGAAUUUACUACAGAGACUUUUUAAUGCCAGUACUUUCAUAUUUCUCAGUUCUGUAUCUAUUGCUUACAUUCAUCCUGUUUUAGACCUAAAUUCACUGCUAAUAGUACUUCAAAUACUUGUACAAUAAUUCUAGGGUAACCAUGGACAAGGUCCUGUUAUAACAUGAAACACAUUUCACAAAAGCAUAACAAGAGAAUAAAGUUUCGUGAAAAUGGAGCUUCAAGCUCAAAACGA